rnacentral:rRNA from 2 species
GGAGGUAGUGACAAUAAAUCACAAUGCGGAACUAUUAGUUUUGCAAUUGGAUUGAGAACAAUGUACAAAUGUUAUCGAUAAACAAUUGGAGGGCAAGUCUGGUGCCAGCAGCCGCGGUAAUUCCAGCUCCAAUAGCGUAUAUUAACGUUGUUGCAGUUAAAAAGCUCGUAGUUGAAUUGAAGUGAACUUGGGUUGAUGUGAUCUUCGGAUGACAUGAAUCAAAGUUGACUCUUUCCAAAGUCAAUACAUUGGUAUUCAUUUAUCUUUGUAUUGUGUUUGGUCAUUUACUGUGAGAAAAUUAGAGUGUUCAAAGCAGACGUUUGUUUGAAUACAUUAGCAUGGAAUAAUCAUAUAUGGCUUUCAUGUUGAUUUGAUUGGUUUGAAUAUGGAAGCAAGAUUAAAAGGGACAGUUGGGGGUAUUCAUAUUCAAUAGUCAGAGGUGAAAUUCUGGGAUUUAUGGAAGAUGAACAAGUGCGAAAGCA